rnacentral:rRNA from 1 species
AGAGUUUGAUCAUGGCUCAGGAUGAACGCUAGCUACAGGCUUAACACAUGCAAGUCGAGGGGAAACGACAUCGAAAGCUUGCUUUUGAUGGGCGUCGACCGGCGCACGGGUGAGUAACGCGUAUCCAACCUGCCCACCACUUGGGGAUAACCUUGCGAAAGUAAGACUAAUACCCAAUGACGUCUCUAGAGGACAUCUGAAAGAGAUUAAAGAUUUAUCGGUGAUGGAUGGGGAUGCGUCUGAUUAGCUUGUUGGCGGGGUAACGCCACAAGGCGACGAUCAGUAGGGGUUCUGAGNGGAAGGUCCCCCACAUUGGAACUGAGACACGGUCCAAACUCCGUACGGGAGGCA